rnacentral:rRNA from 1 species
CCUACGGGAGGCAGCAGUGGGGAAUUUUGGACAAUGGGCGAAAGCCUGAUCCAGCAAUGCCGCGUGAGUGAAGAAGGCCUUCGGGUUGUAAAGCUCUUUUGUCAGGGAAGAAACGGUGAGGGCUAAUAUCCCUUGCUAAUGACGGUACCUGAAGAAUAAGCACCGGCUAACUACGUGCCAGCAGCCGCGGUAAUACGUAGGGUGCAAGCGUUAAUCGGAAUUACUGGGCGUAAAGCGUGCGCAGGCGGUUUUGUAAGUCUGUCGUGAAAUCCCCGGGCUCAACCUGGGAAUUGCGAUGGAGACUGCAAGGCUAGAAUCUGGCAGAGGGGGGGUAGAAUUCCACGUGUAGCAGUGAAAUGCGUAGAGAUGUGGAGGAACACCGAUGGCGAAGGCAGCCCCCUGGGUCAAGAUUGACGCUCAUGCACGAAAGCGUGGGGAGCAAACAGGAUUAGAUACCCUGGUAGUCCACGCCCUAAACGAUGUCUACUAGUUGUCGGGUUUUAAUUACUUGGUUAACGCAGCUAACGCGUGAAGUAGACCGCCUGGGGAGUACGGUCGCAAGAUUAAAACUCGAAAGGAAUUGACGG